CCUUCCACCCUCCUGUCAGGCAGCAGAUACAGGGCUGAGCUGCAAGGAACACCAAUAGGCUGAAGUGCUUUCCAGGUUACCUAGGAGCCAAUCAGGACCUUGAAGUUUCAUGAUGAUCUACACACACCAGAACACUGGAAAAUGUUACAGUUCAUCCACAAGAAGUCUUUUGUACAAGAUGAAGUCAUCUUGGGGAGGAUUAAGGUGGGGUAAAAGCAUAGGUGAGGUGAAGCUAGCUGUUGCCCUAAGCCAGUGCCCCCUGGCCCUCCCACAGAGCGACAAAUCACAUUCACACUUGAGGUGUUUUGUAUUUUUUAAUAAAGUUUGUAAUCCAAUGGACACACAAAACAAAACUGCGCUGAGAAAACAGUUUCAUAAAUUAAUAAGUGUUAGGAAGUGGGAGAGGUCUGGGUCACAGGAAGAAGGUUGGCCAGUCUUUCUGUACAGGUGCUGUGUGACACUUCCACGAAGCGGGAGCAGCGCCCGUGCUGUCAUGAAGCGCACUUAUACAAAUGAGUGACAAUACAAAGUCUGAGUAUGAAAAUAAGAUUUUCUCUGAAAACACAUUUUUUGGC
rnacentral:lncRNA from 1 species